UGUAAAUGUUUCAUGUGUACAGCUUUUAGGU
rnacentral:piRNA from 1 species